rnacentral:rRNA from 1 species
UACGAAGAGGGCUAGCGUUGCUCGGAAUUACUGGGCGUAAAGGGCGCGUAGGCGGAUAUUUAAGUUGGGGGUGAAAUCCCGGGGCUCAACCUCGGAAUUGCCUUCAAAACUGGAUAUCUUGAGUUCGGGAGAGGUGAGUGGAACUCCGAGUGUAGAGGUGAAAUUCGUAGAUAUUCGGAAGAACACCAGUGGCGAAGGCGACUCACUGGCCCGAUACUGACGCUGAGGCGCGAAAGCGUGGGGAGCAAACAGG